GAUGAACGCUGGCGGCGUGCUUAACACAUGCAAGUCGAACGGGGAUGCUUAUGGAAGGAGUGCUUGCACUUUGGAAGUAAGUAUCUUAGUGGCGGACGGGUGAGUAACGCGUGGGUAACCUGCCCCAUACCGGGGGAUACCACCUGGAAACAGGUGCUAAUACCGCAUAAGCGCACAAGGGCGCAUGCCCCUGUGUGAAAAACUGAGGUGGUAUGGGAUGGACCCGCGUCUGAUUAGCCAGUUGGCAGGGUAACGGCCUACCAAAGCGACGAUCAGUAGCCGGCCUGAGAGGGUGGACGGCCACAUUGGGACUGAGACACGGCCCAA
rnacentral:rRNA from 1 species